rnacentral:rRNA from 1 species
AACGUAGGGGACAAGCGUUAUCCGGAUUUACUGGGCGUAAAGCGCCCGUAGGCGGCUUGACAAGUUGGACGUGAAAGCUCCUGGCUUAACUGGGAGAGGCCGUUCAAAACUGUCAGGCUAGAGUAUGGAAGAGGAGCGUGGAAUUCCCGGUGUAGUGGUGGAAUGCGUAGAGAUCGGGAGGAACACCAGUGGCGAAAGCGGCGCUCUGGUCCAAAACUGACGCUGAGGGGCGAAAGCGUGGGGAGCGAACGGG